rnacentral:rRNA from 2 species
UCGAACGAUGAAGCCCUUCGGGGUGGAUUAGUGGCGAACGGGUGAGUAACACGUGGGCAAUCUGCCCUUCACUCUGGGACAAGCCCUGGAAACGGGGUCUAAUACCGGAUACCACUCUCUUCCGCAUGGGAGAGGGUUGAAAGCUCCGGCGGUGAAGGAUGAGCCCGCGGCCUAUCAGCUUGUUGGUGGGGUGAUGGCCCACCAAGGCGACGACGGGUAGCCGGCCUGAGAGGGCGACCGGCCACACUGGGACUGAGACACGGCCCAGACUCCUACGGGAGGCAGCAGUGGGGAAUAUUGCACAAUGGGCGAAAGCCUGAUGCAGCGACGCCGCGUGAGGGAUGACGGCCUUCGGGUUGUAAACCUCUUUCAGCAGGGAAGAAGCGAAAGUGACGGUACCUGCAGAAGAAGCGCCGGCUAACUACGUGCCAGCAGCCGCGGUAAUACGUAGGGCGCAAGCGUUGUCCGGAAUUAUUGGGCGUAAAGAGCUCGUAGGCGGCUUGUCACGUCGGAUGUGAAAGCCCGGGGCUUAACCCCGGGUCUGCAUUCGAUACGGGCAGGCUAGAGUGUGGUAGGGGAGAUCGGAAUUCCUGGUGUAGCGGUGAAAUGCGCAGAUAUCAGGAGGAACACCGGUGGCGAAGGCGGAUCUCUGGGCCAUUACUGACGCUGAGGAGCGAAAGCGUGGGGAGCGAACAGGAU